GACGGAGGAUGCAAGCGUUAUCCGGAAUGAUUGGGCGUAAAGCGUCCGCAGGUGGCAGUUCAAGUCUGCUGUCAAAGACCGGGGCUUAACUUCGGAAAGGCAGUGGAAACUGAACAGCUAGAGUAUGGUAGGGGCAGAGGGAAUUCCUGGUGUAGCGGUGAAAUGCGUAGAGAUCAGGAAGAACAUCGAUGGCGAAGGCAGGUCUCUGGGCUGACACUGACGCUCAUGCACGAAAGCGUGGGGAGCAAACAGG
rnacentral:rRNA from 1 species